GGGCGAUUAGCUCAGCUGGUUAGAGCGCUGGUCUCACAUACCAGAGGUCACUGGUUCAACUCCAGUAUCGCCCACCA
rnacentral:tRNA from 1 species